rnacentral:tRNA from 1 species
AGGCAUGUAACUCAAAUAGUAGAGUAUCUGCUUAGGAAGCACAAGGUCCUGAGUUCAAUCCCCAGGAAUAUCUG